UACGAAGGGGGCUAGCGUUGCUCGGAAUCACUGGGCGUAAAGGGUGCGUAGGCGGGGCUUUAAGUCAGGGGUGAAAUCCUGGAGCUCGACUCCAGAACUGCCUUUGAUACUGAGGAUCUUGAGUUCGGGAGAGGUGAGUGGAACUGCGAGUGUAGAGGUGAAAUUCGUAGAUAUUCGCAAGAACACCAGUGGCGAAGGCGGCUCACUGGCCCGAUACUGACGCUGAGGCACGAAAGCGUGGGGAGCAAACAGG
rnacentral:rRNA from 1 species